rnacentral:snRNA from 1 species
GUGCUUUCUUCAGCAGCACAUAUGCUAAAAUUGGAAUGACACAGAGAAGAUUAUCAUGGCCCCUCUGCAAGGAUGACACACAGAAAUUGCAUAAUAAGGUAUGCACUGUA